GACGAACGCUGGCGGCGUGCCUAAUACAUGCAAGUAGAACGCUGAAGGAGGAGCUUGCUUCUCUGGAUGAGUUGCGAACGGGUGAGUAACGCGUAGGUAACCUGCCUGGUAGCGGGGGAUAACUAUUGGAAACGAUAGCUAAUACCGCAUAACAGUAGAUAUCGCAUGAUAUCUACUUGAAAGGUGCAAUUGCAUCACUACCAGAUGGACCUGCGUUGUAUUAGCUAGUUGGUGAGGUAACGGCUCACCAAGGCGACGAUACAUAGCCGACCUGAGAGGGUGAUCGGCCACACUGGGACUGAGACACGGCCCAGACUCCUACGGGAGGCAGCAGUAGGGAGUCUUCGGCAAUGGACGGAAGUCUGACCGAGCAACGCCGCGUGAGUGAAGAAGGUUUUCGGAUCGUAAAGCUCUGUUGUAAGAGAAGAACGAGGGUGAGAGUGGAAAGUUCACACUGUGACGGUAUCUUACCAGAAAGGGACGGCUAACUACGUG
rnacentral:rRNA from 1 species